rnacentral:rRNA from 1 species
CAAGCGUUGUCCGGAAUUAUUGGGCGUAAAGAGCUCGUAGGCGGUCUGUCACGUCGGCUGUGAAAACCCGAGGCUCAACCUCGGGCCUGCAGUCGAUACGGGCAAACUAGAGUACUGCAGGGGAGACUGGAAUUCCUGGUGUAGCGGUGAAAUGCGUAGAUAUCUGGAGGAAUACCGGUGGCGAAGGCGGCAUCCUGGACCGGCAUUGACGCUGAUGAGCGAAAGCUAGGGGAGCAAACGGG